rnacentral:rRNA from 1 species
UACCAGCACCCCGAGUGGUCGGGACGUUUUAUUGGGCCUAAAGCAUCCGUAGCCGGUUCUACAAGUCUUCCGUUAAAUCCACCUGCUUAACAGAUGGGCUGCGGAAGAUACUAUAGAGCUAGGAGGCGGGAGAGGCAAGCGGUACUCGAUGGGUAGGGGUAAAAUCCGUUGAUCCAUUGAAGACCACCAGUGGCGAAGGCGGCUUGCCAGAACGCGCUCGGACGAUGAGGGAUGAAAGCUGGGGGAGCAAACCGG